rnacentral:rRNA from 1 species
UGGGGAAUAUUGGACAAUGGGGGAAACCCUGAUCCAGCCAUGCCGCGUGAGUGAUGAAGGCCUUAGGGUUGUAAAGCUCUUUUGUCAGGGAAGAUAAUGACGGUACCUGAAGAAUAAGCACCGGCUAACUUCGUGCCAGCAGCCGCGGUAAUACGAAGGGUGCUAGCGUUGUUCGGAAUCACUGGGCGUAAAGCGCGCGUAGGCGGCUUUCCAAGUCAGGGGUGAAAUCCCGGGGCUCAACCCCGGAAUUGCCUUUGAAACUGGAAAGCUUGAGUGUCGGAGGGGAUAGCGGAAUUGCUAAUGUAGAGGUGAAAUUCGUAGAUAUUAGCAGGAACACCGGUGGCGAAGGCGGCUAUCUGGACGACAACUGACGCUGAGGCGCGAAAGCGUGGGGAUCAAACAG